rnacentral:tRNA from 1 species
GGGAAUGAUUGCAACCCCGGUGGGUGCCACGGUCUUCAAAAUCGCUGUUCCCGACACAAUCGGGAAGCUGGGUUCGACUCCCAGGCGUUCCCG